AGUGAACGCUGGCGGUAGGCCUAACACAUGCAAGUCGAACGGCAGCACAGUAAGAGCUUGCUCUUACGGGUGGCGAGUGGCGGACGGGUGAGGAAUACAUCGGAAUCUACUUUUUCGUGGGGGAUAACGUAGGGAAACUUACGCUAAUACCGCAUACGACCUACGGGUGAAAGCAGGGGAUCUUCGGACCUUGCGCGAUUGAAUGAGCCGAUGUCGGAUUAGCUAGUUGGCGGGGUAAAGGCCCACCAAGGCGACGAUCCGUAGCUGGUCUGAGAGGAUGAUCAGGCAAACUGAAAGUGAGAGAGGAUCCGGACUCAUGCGGAAGGCAGGAGGGGGGAAGGUUGGACAGUGGGCGGAAGCCUGCUGCAGCCAGACAGGGAGGGUGAAGAAGGCCUGGGGGUUGUAAAGCCAUUUUGUUGGGAAAGAAAAGCAGCAGGUUAAUACGCGGCUGUUCGGACGGACCCCAAAAAGAAGGCACGGGCAAACUUCGG
rnacentral:rRNA from 1 species